AUACUUACCUGGCAUCGGGGUUACCGUGAUCACUAAGGCGGUUCCCCCAGGGCGAGGCCUUCCACUGCACUACGGCUUGGCUGACCUCUGCGAAUAUCCCAAAUGCGGAUAUCUCGGGCGCAACUUAAUUUUUGGUAGUCGGGACUGCGUACGCGCUCUCCCGG